rnacentral:lncRNA from 1 species
UUUUUUUUAUUUUCUUUUUUUUAAAUAGUCACCUGAAUGAGUGUGAUGCGGUAUUCACGGUGGUUUUGAUUUGCAUUCCACUCUCUUAAUAAUUUAGUCACUACAGAAAGAUAGGGACGGCUUGUCGGUUGAAAUUUCAGUAGCUCACCCUGGUCAACCAAACGGGGGGUGUAUGUGUGAAGCCUAUUUUCCUGACAAAUCUCGGAGCUGCUCUGCAGGAUUCCACCUUGUAGCUGUCACAACCACAUAGCGCACCAGGACUGAUUGCAAUUGUAGAAAGGCAAACAUCUGAAUCAAGACAGACACUUUGCACUCCCAGCGGGCCGGAUGAAGGGUUUCUUUUUUUAAUACGGCAGCAUCAGAGACCUGCUGCUUAGUGCAAACCAGGCAAAUUACCCAUCAAGCCUGUGGAGAUGGUUGAAAUAGAUUCUUUCACGGCUGAAAAGCUAGACAAAAGGUGACCAUUGCAGGGCUUUCUGCUUUUGCAGGAAAAGCUGAUUGCUCUGACCGGACCGUGAGGCCAGUAAAUUAUACCUGUGAUAAUUGGAAAGACCUGUCUGCAGAACCGUCAAUCAGAAGAGUUGCUUCUCUGAUGAUCGGCCGGUGGCAGCAGGCCCCUUUAUACUGCUGCAUAAAAAGGCUACAGGACCACCAUGCAUUCCUCUUUUGAACGAGAUGUAUCAGAGCAUGUCUCCUUGGUGACACUUAGGAGGAUGGUGCCUCUGAUGCAGGGACCGGUGCUGUCAGCACUCAGGAAAGAAGGGGUGUGACCAGUGUUCUUAAGUACACCUCGGUAAAGGAUGCUGAGAUGUCAUAGUCAUCUUUUCUGAGUGCCUCCGAAGCAGGCAACUGUAUCUGAGGUGGUGGAGAUGGUGGUAGUAAGAGCUCCACAAAUCUGGCUUCUGCCUCUAGUUGUCAGACUCUGGUGAGACCCUUCCGGUCAACAUCAGGGAAGUUGCUGGUGAUCCUGGUCUAGGGAUCUGACUUACUUCUUUAGUAGGUCAAAUAAUUAUAGGAACUUCUGGCUAAUUGUCAGCAGCCUACAGAAAGGUACAAGUGAACUUUAGAGUGAUGGCGAUGUUGCUGUUCUAGAUGGGGCUCUUUGAUUUUCUAAGGAAGGGAAUUUCUGAGAGAAAGAAUCUGAUUAGUUCACUUAAUCACUAUCAUCUCUGGGCAGAGCUAUUUGUCCCUCCCCUUCCCCAAACCUCUUUCUAGAUGUCUGACCAUGGAUUGGCUGACCGUGUGUCAGCUCACUGACUGGGUUCCCAGGGGCUGUGGCUAGGGGGCUGGCUCACAUGAUACACAACGCGACUGCUCCUAUUCAAAUACUAGAGGGCAGUGGGCAAGAGGGUUUCUGGAGUAUCACACCUGUCUCGAUGAGUCUAAUCCACUCACGAAAACCAGACACUAGGACUUCACAUUUGUCUUCCCUGCUUAAAACGUAGAAUGAUUUCUGCAGAUUAUGAGAAUACGUCAUAAAAAGAAUUUAGCUCAGGUCUUGCUUGCACAAUUAUUCCAAUUAUUAUCCACCAUUUGUUUAGUUUUUCAAACAACACCACCCUCCUGAAGAAAGAACAAGAAUGAAAAUAAUAUCUAUAUAGCUCUCUUGACAGGAAAAACAAAUUUCUGAGAGGGUUUCCUUAAUGAGUUACCUAAGUUGAGUAGUUGAGAUGUCUCCUAGAGGGAGUCCAGAUGGAAUCAAUCCUUUUACUAUCCAGUGGUUUGAUCUAAUUGUCGCUGGGUUAAAAAAAAAAAAAAAAAAAGAACUGUUCUUUCAGAAUCCUGGUCUUGGAAGAACCACCAGGUUUCUGAGUAUCACUUGAGUCUUUCUUCUGAGAGAGUCAGUGUGGUUGCUCCUCUCACCCUCCUGUUCCCAUCUUCAAGGAGCUCCAGGAAUGGUGCCCUCCUGUCAGUUUCUGGGGCUCACAGCCUAGAACCAACUCUAGCCCCUCCCUACUUAAAUGUCUUUCCCUCACAGGAAGUCAUCACUUUGUGUCCUUCUGGCCCAUCCCUUGUCCCUUCCAACAUAGUCCUGCAGCUUUGGCAACAAUGUCUGGGGCUCUGCCAUUGGCCUAACUACUCCCUCAGAUUCCCACACAAAGCCUGGAGAACAAUCUGACACAAAUCUCAUGAGGAUCACCCGACUCCUCUGUUUGCAAACCUGCAGGAGAGCCUCUGUUGAAUUCAAAUCUUACAUCACACACUUCCUGAAUUAAGUUCCUAUUCAUGUGGUUUGUGGAUGAUCACCCCUCCCACCCCGCUAGGACAGCCCCACGUCUGACCACUCUGCAGUCCACUCUGCUCCCUUCUCAGCCUUUCUACAGGCCAUUGCCUCCUCUGGAAUGCUCGCUAUUGUCAUCACUCUCUGGGCCCCCUUUGAUUCCAAUUCCAGCAGCAAUCCCCAGAAUUAUACCCCAGGUCUGCAUGUACUACAGCCUUCCGUGACCUGCUGUCCUCUGGCUCAGCCUGGGUCUCCUUGUCUGUGGUAAUUCCUGCCCAGCUGGCUUCCUGAGCUCCUCUCCCACAUGCAACCAGGAAUCUACCAAGAUAUGUUCUCGGCUUACAGAAAGAGGAAAUUGAAUUCUCUUUUCACCAGGGUAGGUUUAACAUUGUACCAGGUAUUGUUCAUAUGCC